UUCCUACGGGGGGCAGCAGUGAGGAAUAUUGGUCAAUGGUCGGAAGACUGAACCAGCCAUGCCGCGUGCAGGAAGACGGCCUUAUGGGUUGUAAACUGCUUUUGUACGGGAGAAAAAAGGCAUUCGUGUAAUGCUGUUGAUAGUACCGUAAGAAUAAGGAUCGGCUAACUCCGUGCCAGCAGCCGCGGUAAUACGGAGGAUCCAAGCGUUAUCCGGAUUUAUUGGGUUUAAAGGGUGCGUAGGCGGAUUAAUAAGUCAGUGUUGAAAGGCUAAAGCUUAACUUUAGAAUUGGCAUAGAUACUGUUAGUCUUGAGUGCAGAUGAAGUGGGCGGAAUGUGUCAUGUAGCGGUGAAAUGCAUAGAUAUGACACAGAACACCGAUUGCGAAGGCAGCUCACUAAGUUGUAACUGACGCUGAGGCACGAAAGCGUGGGGAUCAAACAGGAUUAGAUACCCUGGU
rnacentral:rRNA from 1 species